GCCUUCGUGGUGUAGUGGUCAGCACGCUCGACGCAUAACUACCGAGAGGUCGUGGUUCGAUUCCCGGCGAAGGCG
rnacentral:tRNA from 1 species